rnacentral:tmRNA from 1 species
GGGGAUGAUCGGUUUCGACAUCGCCUGCGAAUCCACGAGAAGCGGGCCGAGGAUGCAGGGUUAUCUCGUAAACGCCCUCUGCAAAAAUAUAACUGCCGAUAAGAAGCAGUCUGACUUCGCCCUCGCUGCGUAAGUAGCGAGCCCGAGUCCGUCAGUCCGUGUGUGAUUCCGUCACGGUUUCUGGCGUCAUCUAGGAAUCUUGCUGUGUGAUGUCGUCUGGUCGUCACGCGGGACUUUCACCAGGCUGGGCCUGUCGACUUAGGUGUCUGUGACAAAGGUCGGGGCCGAGUAGAACGCAUGCAUAGACUGCGCCCGGAGAAGGCGUGGAGACCCAGCGAUGGACGGGGGUUCGAUUCCCCCCAUCUCCACGA